ensembl:lncRNA
AAAAUAGGUUAUAAUAAAAGUAUGACUUUUUUUUUACAUACUGUAGAAAUCAAAAAGAAAAUGAUUUUGGAAAAAAAAAAGAAAAAAAAUAAAAAUAAAAUAAGGUUCUAUUUGGAUUGUACGUGUGGUGGAACUUGCGAUGGGACAUGUGUUGGAACUUGUGAUGGGACGUGUAGCGGAACAUGUGGUGGAAAGUGCGGUGACGUAUAUAAUGGCCAAAAUGACAUGGUGCAUGACAAACCAAAUGACAAUAUACAUGACGAUAAAAAUGGCAGUGAACAUGAUGGCCCAAACAACUUAACCGAGUUUAUCAACUUUUAUAAUGAACAUAAUGUAUUUUCGUUUUGCAACGAAUACAUAGAUAUGAAUUUUGUUUUAAAAGCAAAUAAUGUAUGUUCGUUUAUUAAUAAACUAGAGUUUGUGACAGAUUAUGAUGAACAGAUAUAUAUAGAUAUGUAUGAUAGUUUUUUGUCUCUUUUUGCUUGGACAGAGAGUUUAUGUUUUUUAUUUUUAAAAUUAAAUUUGUUUAAAAAAAGUUAUUUAUUGUAUAGCAAUGUUUCAAAAUUAUUUUUAAAACAUUUGAAUGUAUAUAUAAAAAAAAAAAAUGCAUUAUUCAUUCUCCUAUUUUAUUUGAAAAGAAUUAUUUAACUAUAGCUAGAUACAUAAGAGAAAAAAAUAUAUGCUCUAUACACAUAUUAGAAUAUAUAUUUUAUAAAGAACUUACAUUGUUACUUUAUUUAAAUAAUUUUGCACAUAUGUCACGUAAAGCUUUAAAUUUUUCCAAAUUUUUUUACAGAAACAAGUUGUUUAUAUUUAUGCACAAUAUUAUUAAAUUUAAAAACAAAAUAGAUAAAAAUCCACAAAAUUAUAAUUAUGUUAAAAAUAUUCAAAAAAAAAUAACGUCUUAUAGAAAAAAGUAUAUAGAAAGUAAAACAAAGGUAUGUGUUAAGAAUGAUAAAAAUGAACAAGGGUUAAUAAGAAAAGAGGAUAGCUGUCACAAAACAAAAGACACAACAAGCAGAAAAGAUGACGUUACUAAAACGGAAGUUAAAAAAAAUGAACAAAUACAAAAUGAACAAAUACAUAAUGAAAAAAUAAAAAAUGAAAAAAUAAAAAAUGAAAAAAUAAAAAAUGAAAAAAUACAAAAUGAACACAUGAAUACACACAAACAAUCAGUCAUCAACGAAUUGAAAAAUGUGCUUUAUAAAAAAAAAAAAAAAAAAAAAAAAAAAAAAAAAAAAAAAAUGGAAAAAAUAGAAACAAAUAGAAAAACAGAAAUAGCGGAAAAAAAUGAAACAAAUACAAAAGUGAGUGUUAUACACAGUUCUUCUUCCUUAUCACCAUCUUCAUCUGCUUCUUCUUCAUCUUGUUCUUCCUCUUCGUUUUCUACUGUUUCUACUUCAACUACUUUGUCCAGUCAUUCAUCUGGUUUGUCACUCAGUUCUGCAUUUACGGAUGCAUCCGAACCCACAUAUAAAAAUAAAACUUGUAUAUAUAAUGAUUUUUGUAUAAACACUUGUAAUAUAUUUAAAUUAUCUUUUUUGAUUUUGAAAAACGUUUUAAAUAAUAACCAUAUUUAUUAUUUACAUGAUCCAAUGAAAAUGAGAAAAAUAAAUUUAUUUAUAUUUUUUUUAAAUUAUUUAGAAGAAAAAAAAUAUGAAAAAAGUAUAGACAAAUCAGAAGAUGUUCAUGAAAUACAAGUAAAAAAAAAAAGUGUUUAUCAUAAUUUUCCUAUUUAUUAUUUAAAUAUAUUUUUAAAACAUAAUAAUAUUAAAAAAAAAAAAUUAUUGUUACUUAUUAAUAUUAUGAACAAAAUUAAUCAUUUGUGUGUACGAAAACAUAAUAACAUUGCUGUAGUAAAUAAAUUAUUUUUAUCUAUUUUAUUUUAUGAAAAUAAAAUGUAUAAAAAAUCAUUUAAAUUGUUGAAGCGUAUUAUAAAAAUUUGUACGUAUGAUUAUAUUAUUUUAUUAUGUAUGCAACUGUUAUUGUUCUAUGAACAAAAUAAUCAAUUUUAUAAAUUUGUUAGUUCGUUUUUUUUAGCAAAUAAAUAUGUGCAAGUUGUAUCAUUUAAACAUAUAAAUAUUAUUUUUACCACAUUUCAAAAUUAUCAAAACUAUUUAUUUUCUAUAGAUAACCCUUUAUCUAUUUUGAAUUUAGAAAAGAACAAAAUGUAUGAUGCAGAUUUUUAUAACGCCUUAAAUUGUGAUGUAGUUUUAUCACUUGAUACGAUGAAAAAUGUGGUAGAUAGUGUAUUUAUUCAACACCUUGAAACAGAGCAUGAUGUCUCUGAUGUACAGGUAAAUUAUAAUACAAAAACAAAAAAAAGAGUUUGAUAAUAACAAAAUAGAUGACAUUUGUAGCAAAACAUAUUGUACUCAUAUAAAACAACAACAACAACAACAACAACAAC